UGAUGAUGGUGAGGGAUAUUUCUGAGCAUACUCUUAAAUCUCUCCCAAGCUUUGUGGAGAUUGUCUCAGUCUUUCUGUCUAAAAUUAAAGAUUUAACUCCUCAAGCA
rfam:Capsicum annuum cultivar Zunla-1 chromosome 11, whole genome shotgun sequence